rnacentral:lncRNA from 1 species
AUUUAUUUAACUACUUCAGUUUUUCUGAUAGCAAGCAAAAAUCACCCCAAAUCUUAAAUAAUUACAGACGCUAAUGAGCUUAUAAAUAAAGAAAACCUUAAGUUCUAUUACAUGAUUUUAUAGUCUACUUAGGUGUCACCAUAAAAAUUCACAAGUCUAAAUUAAUUCUCAAUUACACAUUUUAAAGUGGAGUUAUAAAGCUGUCACUCUAGUAGGCUUUAUUCUCUUAAAUAUCACACUUAUCUCAAACACCAAAUAUGCACAAGUUCCUUGAUGACGUAAAAAUAUGGGUAUUUUGGCUUCUUUUAAGAGUUUCUACACUUACAUUUAUGUGCUCCUGGGGAAUUGGCUGGUCAUUCUCUCUCUCUCUCUCUCUCUCUCUCUCUCUCUCUAUUUGUUCUAAUUAGUUAUACAUGACAGUAGACUGCAUUUUGACACACCGUACAUAAAUGGAGUGUAACUUCUCAUUCUUCUGGUCGUACGUGAUGUAGAGUUACACAGGUCGUGUAAUCAUAUAUGCACAAAGGGUAAUAAUGUUGGAUUCAUUCUACUGUCCUUCCUGCCCCCAUUGCGAGGUUGUGGCUGGGACUCUGCAAACCACUUUGGCUUUGUCAGCUGGGGCCCUGCCAGGGCCUGCAGCUCUAGAGGGAGCCUUGGAGGCUGGUAGAGUGAGAACAGAGAACUCCUCCUGUCCUUGUCACCUGCAGGGCAUUGGGGUGCAGUAGCAGCAGAGGUUCCCACUGGUGGUUUUCCCACAUUCUCAGAACCAGACUUCACCCCUCCCCUCAGACACCACCACCAGCUGGCCACAGCCCCUCUCAAACCUUAUCAAUGUCAACGACUCUUCUUUGUUUCCCCAGUUCUAAGGGUUGUAUUUCCUUCCUGUAGUUUCCAC